rnacentral:rRNA from 1 species
AUUGAACGCUGGCGGAAUGCUUUACACAUGCAAGUCGAGCGGCAGCGCGGGGCAACCUGGCGGCGAGCGGCGAACGGGUGAGUAAUGUAUCGGAACGUAUCCGGAAAUGGGGGAUAGCCCGGCGAAAGCCGGAUUAAUACCGCAUAUGCCCUGAGGGGGAAAGGUGGGGAUCGCAAGACCUAUCGUUUUCGGAGCGGUCGAUAUCGGAUUAGCUAGUUGGUGGGGUAAAGGCCCACCAAGGCGACGAUCCGUGGCUGGUCUGAGAGGACGACCAGCCGCACUGGGACUGAGACACGGCCCAGACUCCUACGGGAGGCAGCAGUGGGGAAUUUUGGACAAUGGGGGCAACCCUGAUCCAGCCAUUCCGCGUGAGUGAAGAAGGCCUUCGGGUUGUAAAGCUCUUUCGGCAGGAAAGAAAUCGUGCGGGCUAAUACCCUGUAUGGAUGACGGUACCUGAAGAAGAAGCACCGGCUAACUACGUGCCAGCCGCCGCGGUAAAAC